rnacentral:rRNA from 1 species
GACGAACGCUGGCGGCGUGCUUAACACAUGCAAGUCGAACGGAAAGGCCCUGCUUUUGUGGGGUGCUCGAGUGGCGAACGGGUGAGUAACACAUGAGUAACCUGCCCUUGACUUUGGGAUAACUUCAGGAAACUGGGGCUAAUACCGGAUAGGAGCUCCUGCUGCAUGGUGGGGGUUGGAAAGUUUCGGCGGUUGGGGAUGGACUCGCGGCUUAUCAGCUUGUUGGUGGGGUAGUGGCUUACCAAGGCUUUGACGGGUAGCCGGCCUGAGAGGGUGACCGGCGACAUUGGGACUGAGAUACGGCCCAGACUCCUACGGGAGGCAGCAGUGGGGAAUAUUGCACAAUGGGCGGAAGCCUGAUGCAGCAACGCCGCGUGCGGGAUGACGGCCUUCGGGUUGUAAACCGCUUUCGCCUGUGACGAAGCGUGAGUGACGGUAAUGGGUAAAGAAGCACCGGCUAACUACGUG